rnacentral:rRNA from 1 species
UAACAGAGGGCAGCUACCCAGCAAUGGGAUGCGAAUCUCGAAAGCCUGUCUCAGUUCGGAUUGGAGGCUGAAACCCGCCUCCAUGAAGUUGGAUUCGCUAGUAAUCGCGCAUCAGCCAUGGCGCGGUGAAUACGUUCCCGGGCCUUGUACACACCGCCCGUCAAGCCAUGGGAGCCGGGGGGUGCCUGAAGUUCGUGACCGCAAGGAGCGACCUAGGGCAAAACUGGUGACUGGGGCUAAGUCGUAACAAGGUACC